rnacentral:misc_RNA from 1 species
AAGUCGUAACAAGGUUUCCGUAGGUGAACCUGCGGAAGGACGUAUCCACCCCUGUGGUCCCGUGCGCGUCUAUACAUGGAGCGGUAGAAACUACUCUGUGACCUGCGUGGUCACAAAGAAAAUGCAAAUUAAGUCAAUCGUGUUGUUCUGCGUGACCAACAUUGAAAGCUAAUUCAACCUGCGCGGUUGGGCCCAUUGACUCAUUGCGUUCGGUAAUACCAGCAUUCUGCGAGAAUGCAGUUCCAUGUAGCAGACGUUUUAACCAAACCUUUACUAAAUUGACUAAUGUAUAGAAGUAAGUAUGAUGCGCUCUGCUUUAUUUCGACUACGAAACGUAACAACUCUUAACAACGGAUAUCUUGGUUCUC